CUGAGAGCAAUGUGAUAGAAGAAAAAGUCUGAAUCUUUCUCUGGCAGGGACAUUGGAAUAGUGCUGCUAGUUCAUGUUUCAUAGUUUUUGGAAUCGCCAGCAGGGGGAAACUAUACAUGUAGCAAUCCGAAAUUUAGACAUUUACUCAGCUUUAUUGGUUAUAUGUCAGCUUCAAUUCGGAAUAAACCAGGUGCUCAUUGUAGUAGUUUCUUUGGUUGGAAUUAACUAAUGUACUUCCGAGUUGUAUGUGUGGGGAAUGUAUGCUUCUUUUUUGGUUGAAAAUGCCAUGGUGAAUGACUAGAGGUUUGAGUACUUGGUACUGUUCGAUCUAGGCUAGGGCCGCAGGCCGCUAGGCCAAAUGAGUUGGUCAAAACAAUGAAAUGAAAAGCAGAUUCAUUGAAGUCUUGGAUGAUGGUAAAAUGAUGAUUAUUACUUGUUUCUCUUCUACUUUUUCGUUUGAUUCUUUGCGUUCAGCUCUUAUCCGAUCUAAGCUUGUCAUCUGGGUGAGGUUGAGGGAAUUCAACCAUUAGCAGAUAAAGCAGAUUUUUUGAGACAAUAUCGAGCAAAACAGGGCGAUCUUAUAUUAAUAAAACUCCAGACAUCUUUGUAGCUCAUGAUAUGGAUUUGAUUGGCCAUGUAAGUUUCAUUCUAGCUUCUGUUAUAUCUCUUACACGGUCCAUGGGUGGCUUGAGAAUUGGUGGAGGAAGUUUGAGUAUUUAUAAGAGAGAGGUCCAAGAAAAGGCCUUGGAGAUCAUUGGAAUUUCACCAGGAGAUGUCAGAAACGGUGUUCCGGCUGGAAAUUACAGAGAAAUUACCGAUUUUGUAUUUGAUUGGUUAAGGAUGUUAAACCAUUAUUAAUAACUGUUCAGAUCUUCUGGAACCAGAAGAUGCUGAUAACAUGGUAUUCAAUUUCAAUUCAACAACUGGGUGUUGGUAUCUGACGUAUUAUUGUUCAGAUAUUUGUGAAGAAGAUCUACAAUGAUAUCAUAUCAAAAGAUGAAAUAAAAAAACGAACAUAUUCUUGAUU